rnacentral:tRNA from 1 species
CGGACGAAUAGCUAUGGCGCGCCGAGUCGGCGCCGCUGUCGUCGUCGCUAUCGUCGUUCGAUGUGUUGUCGUUCGAC